GGGCCUGUAGCCUAGCCUGGAUAGGGCACCAGCCUUCUAAGCUGGGGAUCGGGGGUUCAAAUCCUCCCAGGCCCG
rnacentral:tRNA from 1 species